UACGAAGGGUGCAAGCGUUGUUCGGAUUUAUUGGGCGUAAAGCGCGCGUAGGCGGACCUGCAAGUCAGAUGUGAAAUCUCGGGGCUCAACCUCGAAACUGCGUCUGAAACUACAGGUCUAGAAUCUUGGAGGGGGAAGGGGAAUUUCGCAUGUAGGGGUAAAAUCCGUAGAUAUGCGAAGGAACACCAGGGGCGAAGGCGCCUUUCUGGACAAGUAUUGACGCUGAGGCGCGAAAGCGUGGGGAUCAAACAGG
rnacentral:rRNA from 1 species